GAAGGCUGAGUCAGAGAAACUGCCAGCCACCACUAUGACAAGCCGCAUGUGAAGACGCUGGCUGAAGAACAUUGUUUCGUGGACAUACUGUUUUCACCUUAGACCCCAGAAAUGCUAGAUUCCAAGCUGUCUUGAUCAUUCAAACUCAUUCUGAACAUCUGUUUCUGUCCAUUGGCCAAAGCAAGUCAUGGGAGCAAGCUGGACAUCAAUUGGAUGAAGUGUAUUGUCCAUGGACAUUAGGGAAGACGGUGGUUUGCAGGACAGUAUUACAACACAGCACAGGUCUCCUUAGAGUGAUAGAGAGCUCGGGGCCCUGGCUCCUAUCCUACACUGGCUUCAACCACAGCAAUGUUCUCUAUCUCAGGCUUGAGUAAUAAUGGAAAGAAAUGCUCCGUUGCUCCACCGAUUCCACUCUUGUUUUGGCAGUGAAGAAUCUGGCCUCAGAGGUGUAAACAAGAGGUGGGUGAAGAUGCUGUCAGUCUCCCCAAUGAUCUUGAAAACUCAUUCUCAAGGAUAAGAAUGCCAUGCCUGCUUCUGUUCCACUGACCAAAAAUUAUUCAACAUAAAGAAGUCAUGUAACGUCACAAUGCCUGAACUUCAAAGUCAUUUUGACUUCUACUAUGGAAAAUGUCAAACAUACCUGUAGAGGGAACAUCAUAAUGAAAAUGUCGUGAGGUAGAGCCCUCAUGAGUAUGUUUGUGUUCUGAAGCAAGAGACACCCUCCAUCGACUGUGUGAGGAUGCAAGGAAAAGUCUGCAGGCUACAACACAGAAGGAUGCUGUCACCUGUACCCCGGGAUGUUGGCACCUCAACCCCAGGAUCCCAGCCUCUGUAACUGUGAUAAAUAAAUGCUGGCAUUGAUAAGACAUCAAGCCUAUGGUAGUC